UUUUCACUAAUUAGGAAGAAGACAAUGUCUUAUCUGCCCUCCGGCGUAAAGUUGAGCUGGAUGAACUCUCCCAUGACCUGGGUGGAUGCUCCUUGCGGUGAAGUGCAACUCAGGUGGAUACCAACUAACGGCUCAGAGGGGGAAGACUGAGGUGGGAGGAGCAGCUCGGCACCUGGACAGCCACGGGCUGCAAAGGGCGUCCAGAAGGACACCUGCUGGACAGGCAUGUGGUCUGACCUGCCGCAGGGGCACCCAGCAUCAACCCUCCUGCUCACAUCGCUGCAGAAUGAAGCCCACCAUCACGCCCAGAGAAGCAGAGCAUAGGGACCCCCUUUAGAUACUGGGUUUCUGAAGCACCUUGGACCAACUGCUGAACAUAAGGAAACACAACACUUCCUAAUGGCACAGACUGAUGCUACAUGGCCAUUAGCAGUCAUGGAAAUGUUUGCCUCACAGAGGCAGUAAGGAGUUGGAUCAGGGGCCCAUCUAUGGGCUGCCCACCCCUCCAUCUUGUGCAUCCCUCACACAGCCCAGCCCUACUGCAUUGAUUUAAAGAAUGAAAAUUCCAUCUCUCUGAAGAAGAAUCUUCCCGGAAAUUACAAUGCAGCUGCUUCUCUCCAUGAGCCUUGUUACAUGAAUAAUGUAUUUCAUAAAAAAAUACACAAGAUAUUAAAUGAAUCUUCAAGAGAAGCUGAUUACAGUGUGCAGCAGUGUCUGUUCCCCCAUCCCUUGGAGACACUGUUUUGUUUGUAUUUUCAUUGGCAAGGCUCAGUAAUAACUCGAAAUCAGAGCAAGUAAUUCACAUAAAAAUUCACAUCCUCCAUACUCUGCAUACUUUCCAAAGUCUCUAGGUCCAUGAGAAAUAGGAAGGGUUUACUGAGAGGUCAACUCAAGACUGAAAACAAUUUUUUUAAGAAUAGGGCAAAGGUGUAAGUCUGAAAUAGCAGAAUAGCACCUUUGUCCAUAUCAAUGAUCAUUCCUCUAUUACAAAGAAAACAAUCAUUGGAAGCAACAGUUUUGGCCUACAGUGAGGAAACCUCAUAUAUUUUUAUUAUACGCAUUUAUAGCAUGAGAACAAAGACAGUAACUUAAAUUCCUUUGCAAUUGAGCUUUGGUAAACUAUGACAGGCGGCAGGAGACGUGUGGAUGCACACGGCCCUCCAAGCUACAGGGAAAGUAGAGCAUGUCUUAUCACAGGGGGCAACCGCUCUGAUAAACAAAUUCCUGCUCUCCAGCCAUGCACCUGCUGCCUUUUGUGACACACCAAAACCCAAACCUUCUAAUGUCAUUAAGGGCCAAAGCAGCCUUCAGAAUUGAAAUGAAUGAAUAAAUAAAUAAAUAAACUAUGGCCUCAGAGCUGGUCUCCCAGCUCAGGAAUGACAUAUUUUCCAAUCAGAUUAAAAACCAUGCACUGUGGGUACAGCCCAUAUGCGGAGCUGUCAGUUUGUUUACAAAUGGAGAUGUGCUUUAGAAAAUCUGAGGAUAAGAACAUUGCUCUUAGUGUAGGAUAUGUUCCCUGUGCUAAAAGCGGGUGCCACCCCUCCCAUUGACAUCCUCUCCUUUUCAAGGGAAACGAUCAUGUACUGAUGCUGCCCAAAAAUGUCUGUAAACAUUUCUGUAAAGUGCUGUACUAUGUUCGUUGUGAGUUGGAGUAAGGUUUUAAAUGGUUGUACAUCCCAACAGCUCUUGCAUUGAACUCUCUUACAACAGUGGUUUCAAUGGAAUGGGUUUCAAAAUACAGCAUGGAAUCAUUACGUUUGGAAAGACCACUAAACUCAUCUACUGCAACUAAUGAAGGAUUAAAGCUCAAUAGAAGCAAGGCUUUCUUCUAACAGCUGGGAUGUCAGAAUCUGGGUUUUGGAGUCACAGGAGUUCUCCCUCAUCACCUCCUAUGAAUGUUACGUUCAUCAACUUUAAAGAACCCUCCAACAGUUGCAUGGGCAAACUGGCCCCCACAUGCAUUUGCGAUGAGGUUGAUUAAUGAUCAAUGUGAACUAAAACUCAGGUGGCAAACUUCAGCCCACUGAAGUUUUCUAGGAAAGUUAAAAUUUUUGGAACCUCAGUGAUUGUUCCGUGGCUUCUUUGGUAAUCACAGGCUGUGGACUUCAGGCAAAUGCAUGAAAUACAUUUUCUGGGCACUGGAUCCAGGAUUUCUGGAUGAGUCUUUAUAGAGCAGUUGGCCACAGGAUGUAAGGGGACUCACAGAGACUCUACAGCAGUAUUCUCAGUCAAAAUGUGAAAUUGUUAAAUAAAAAGCAUGAACAAAUGUGUUCAUAUCACAGAUAAAUCCCCUUUGGUAAGCUCAGCACUGCUGAUGCUCAGGAAAGCUAUUGGGAGGAAUUCCUGACUGGAUCUGACAGCCAACCUCUCCUGUUCUGAGGAGCAGUUGGAUCUAAGGUCUCUCCAGCUAUGGGCUUUCUGCUCUGACCAGUUUUACUGAAAGAUUAGUACUCUGAUGAAGAACUUAAAACCUGGCCUUGCAUUCCAAACAGAGUCACAUAUUGCCUUGGAGAAGGGGAUCUCUUUCAGGCUUAUAGGAGAUAGUUAUUAACAAAAGACAAGAAUAUAUCCUAGUGCUGAUGUCCUGGAAGCAAAGGAAGUAUUUAUGGUGUCCUCUGCAAGGGACAGCCCAGUACAAGGCAAGAGUGACUCUGCUCCCCACCCACUGCCAGUGCGCACUUGUACAUCAGAACAAUGAAUGGAGUUCUCAUUUUUUCUACUCGCUAUGGUCAAGGAGCUUUUUAAGCUCUGCUCAGAGGAUGCUACAGUAAAUCUGCACUGCUGACACUAGGACUGCAUGAGAGAGAGAAAUCGUUUGGCAUUAGCACAGUCUCAAUUAACACUGUUGGCACAGAAUAAAGGUGUCACAUCACUUUCUCAAAGCCAGUGGUAGAUAGAUGACAGUGAAGCUGCAGAUACAUAAAGUGCUCAAAUUCUAUUUUUAGUCAGUUGGUUCAGUGGCACUGUGGUUAGUAGUUUCGUUUUUGCUCAGAGUAAGCAUGAUGUAAAUUAUUCAUGUUUUGCCUAGUUUUUGUACAGGAGCCAAGCAACAAAUGCAGUGACGCCUUGAAAUACUGGCCACUGAAGUGCUAUGAAGAAGCAAGAAGCCUGUUUUCCAGCUUUGAUAUUUUGUGUAGUAGAUAUUUUUCUCCUCCAGCCUUUCAUGUAUCAUACUGGUUCCUCUGUUAGCUAGGUUAACAGAAAAACCCAGUGUAAGGCUAGCUGUUUUCUCCUUCACAUAGGAAUAGACAGUGCUGGUGACACUUGCACCAAAUCAAAAAUAAAGCUUCUUUUGAAUGCACCACGAUUCUUUUCUUAUUAUGUAAAGAGUGAAAAAAGAUUAAGAUGAAACUUCAUGAUAAGGAAGACACUCGGGAGCCCUCACUCAUCACUGCUACCCUCCUGCCUUGCUGUCUUCAGCUCUGUGUGCCUGGCUGCCUUGUACACAGUUGAAGUAGAUGUAUCCCUCCCACUGCAGUGCACAGAGCACCCUCAGCUCCUCACACUUGUUAAGCAAGAACAGGACACUCAGUAAAAGCUCUCAAUUCUUUCAGAACACAAAUUCUUACUGCCCUGGAAAACACACUGGAGUGACCUAUAUGUAUUUCUUUCGGGCUGUCUGCCUUCCAGUCCUCUUAUCCCCCAUGCAGCCACAAGGCCAGCUGACAGUCCUAUGCUUGGCCACCAGAUGGGAGAAUGUGAGAGAGCAGUUGGAAGAUGCAAUUGCUUAUCACUAAAUUGCAUUUUCAUGUCAGAACUGCUAAAAUCCAUAAUUCAGUUCCAGCAUAUUGAAUAUGUAUAAUCAGUUCCAUCCCAAUCACUGUUUACAGCAGGAGAAAGCCACAGUGUGCAUCCCAGAGACCCAGUUUCCCAUCUAAGCCUAGUCCUUUUCCCUAUAUCAUCUUUGAAUAAGCACAUCCUUGUGUAUGUGCAAUUUGAUUUUUUUUUUUUUAAUAAUAACACAGAAGAUGAAACCUGUUUGUUUCAUAUUCAGCCAAGAAGACUUUCUCAUAACUUUCUCAUCUAGUUUCAACCCCUCUGCCAUAUGCAGGGCUGCCAACCACCAGACCAGGCUGCCCAGAGCCACCUCCAGCCUGGCCUUGAAUGCCUCCAGGGAUGGGGCAUCCACAACCACCUUGGGCAACCUGUUUCAGUGCUGAAGUUGCCAGCAAAUCUAUUUAUUUAUUCUACAGCAAGAAUUAUUCAAAAUACCUUGUUCUCCAGUCUCCCAGUACUUAACCUUCACAGUACCACCCACAUUAUUUUCCACUGAAAAGUCAGUUAAGCAACUCCUCCUUGACCAUUCAGCAAGUCAAUGGCAGUUGUACCCUGGAUCUUGUGACUCCACGCUGCUUGCUCUCACCCUUAAACAACAACUUGGUACUCACUAAAACGGCAAGGGAAAUCUUUCAGUGUGAGCACAGUGAAAAGCACUUUUCACCUUCCACAAAGCGUGAAAUGAAUUGAAUAAUCAAGUUUUUAAUGAAAACUUACUUCUCUGGUCUAGCUCUGACCAAUAACCAUCUUGCUGAAAAUCACUAUCACUGAUACCAGCUGGUUGAGCCUAAGUGAGACCUUAUAAAACUGGUUUCAAGAUAGUUUUAAUGGUAGUUUAACUGAUUCCCAAAAGCAAACAGAAGGUGAUUUACAACCAUAUACUGCACAUAGAGCUUCCUUGCUCCUUGGAGUUAAAGAUUAUGGAGUCCAUUUUGCAGUUCCAGUCAGCCAAACUCCUACAAGGAGUUUCAGACCAACUCCACAGUCACCCUCAACAAUCCUUCCAUCCACAGUGCACAGCCAGUGAAACACUGAUCUUACUGCCAAAGCCUUCAGUUUCAAAUGCAUUUCACGAUAUAUAUGAGCAGAAACAUACUUAGAGGAAGCUUUCACCUAUAAAUUAUAUGUUUAGAAGUGCAGUUUUUGUUUAAACUACAAAAAUUGAUUUUGAGUUUGCACCAAUGGAGAGUAUAGGGUUCUUUUAGCAAGAUGCCCACAAUCAUCUUCAAGGAAAUGUUUAUACUAAUUACUCACAGAGGACUGUUUGAAACAUCACAGUCUCAUUUACAGCAGAUCAAUUUUGCUUUCUUCAUCACUCAGUUCUAGUUUUGUUUCUUCCCAUUCUCAAGACUGGCUGACUUUAUGACCACUAAUGGUCUUUUUAAGACACUGAGAUGCAGAAACUGAAUACUUGGCCUCAUUUCUGAAUGUGGAGCCAACUGCUUGCAAUAAUUUUUCUAUAGAAUUGAUGCUUUUAUGGCAUCUGAUUGCCUGAGUUCCAGCUGCCAUCAGGUACUGUGCUCCAGUGACCUGCUGUUAACAGCUGCUCCCAAAAAGAAACAGAGAUAAAUACUGAAGAUGGAUUCCUGUUAAAGAAAUCAUCAAACAGAAAAACUUCUCUUGGGUAGGAGAAAGAUCACUCCAGGAAGUCUUUUCUUCCCAGCUAAGUGACAAUUUCUAUGAGCAAUGGAUAUAAUAAACUACACCUAUUGUUUAUUGACUUGUGAUUGGGAUGCUUAUGGGUUGAUUGCAUUAGUUGAGCUUAGGUGGGGACUGCACAGACAUAGCAGGGUUGUUAUAUUAUUAUAACCCUCUUUAAUUGCUAUCCCUCUUUCCUGGUAAGAGAUAAUCCCUUGAGCCUGCUUGGUGUUACCUACACCUGUCAGUAGGACCUGAUGGAGGAAAGGAAUGCUAAAUCCAGCUGCACCUGUAGGAUAAGAGAGCUCUACUCCAGGGCCUUGCUGAAGGCUGAGGAAAUCAAAACGUACCUUCUGGAAAAAGGAAAAACACAAAGACCCAUCCCCCAUACAGUGAUACUAGGGGGG